GGAGAGGUGGCAGAGUGGUCGAAUGCGGCUGACUCGAAAUCAGUUGUGGGCGUAAGCCUACCGGGGGUUCGAAUCCCUCUCUCUCCGCCA
rnacentral:tRNA from 1 species